UCCCAUCCCAUUAGCCCAGAUCUGGGACUCCCAGGUGGAACGUUCCAAACCUAUCAUUUUUUUUUCUCUCUCUCCCUCUUAAGGCACAUCUUCCAAUACUCUGCAGUCAUUAAGCAGAAUGAGGCAGGUCUGGGUGUGCUGAUUGGGGGAAGAUGUCCACGGUAUAUAAUUAACUGGAAAAAGCUAUCAUGGAACUGUGUGCCUGCAACGAUCCCUAUUUGUGAAAGUGCAACUCAGAGGAAAGAAACUUCUCUCUGUGCCCUGAUGUCUCGCCACCUGCAAUGGAUUUCUUCUUCCUUGUGGGGAGGGAGGUGGAGCCCCAGCCCCCCAGCUUUGAGGCUCACCUCGUCCUCCCUGUAUAUUAAAGAGUGCUCAGAUGUGGCUGUCGCUGAACCUUUCCCUCCAAGAUGGAGCCCUGUGUGCAAGAGACGGUGUGUGCAAAAGGCUUGACUCACAGCCAGUGCGUGAUAAACCCUCAAUAAAUGUUUGAAAUUAUUAUUAUCGAUGGUCUCGGGGUGCUGGCUAAAAGGCAGCAUAGCUCAGCAGUUAAGCCAGACGUGCUGGGUUCAAAUCCCAUCUCU